rnacentral:rRNA from 1 species
GACGAACGCUGGCGGCGUGCUUAACACAUGCAAGUCGAACGGAAAGGCCCUGCUUUUGUGGGGUGCUCGUGUGGCGAACGGGUGAGUAAAACGUGAGUAACCUGCCCUUGACUUUGGGAUAAAUUCAGGAAACUGGGGCUAAUACAGGAUAGGAGCUCCUGAUGCAUGGUGGGGGUUGGAAAGUUUCGGCGGUUGGGGAUGGUCUCGAGGCUUAUCCGCUUGUUGGGGGGGUAGGGGUUUACAAGGGUUUUGAAGGGUAGCCCGCCUGAGAGGGGGACCGGCCACAUGGGGCCUGAGAUACGGCCCAGACUCCUACGGGAGGCAGCAGUGGGAAAUAUUGCACAAUGGGCGGGAGCCUGAUGCAGCAACGCCGCGUGCGGGAUGACGGCCUUCGAGGUGUAAACCUCUUUCGCCUGUGACGAAGCGUGAGUGACGGUAAUGGGUAAAGAAGCACCGGCUAACUACGUG